GUACCAUAUAUUCCUAAGUUCUGUUCUGUCAGCACGCAUUGCUUGUGGAAAAAAAUUGUGAAUUUAUCUAUGUUUUAAAAUGUGUUGUUCUUUGGCUAUACAAAAUGCGUUCUUUAUUUCUGCAAUAGUGAUACUAAUACUAAAUUUGGUAUUUAUUGUUUUGUCUAUUAUUUUCACUUUAAAGAACAAGGAAAUGGAAAAGGUCAAUCCUCGUGAAUCCCUAUCUCCGUCGACCCUUCAGUGGAGGGAUGGAUCUCGUGCGGGUAGCGUACCACAGGUCUUGAUGUACCAAGCCUUGGUACGAGUUAGUGUCGGAUCCAGACAAAAUUAAAUUUAUAACUGCUAUCAUUGAAACUUGUGUUAAAUUACAUUUUUUUUUGCAAGGAUUUUGAAUAAUGUAUUAAUCUUAUUAAAUCAGAAUCCGUACAUAAAGUCUACCGCGUUUUGCAAUUAUCUUAUCUACUCUUUGCGUACCAGUUGCUUUUUAAUGAAAUUAACAGAUUAAAUAUGAUGAUAAAUUAUGA